rnacentral:rRNA from 1 species
AACGAACGCUGGCGGCAUGCCUAACACAUGCAAGUCGAACGAGACCUUCGGGUCUAGUGGCGCACGGGUGCGUAACGCGUGGGAACCUGCCCUUAGGUUCGGAAUAACUCCCCGAAAGGGGUGCUAAUACCGGAUAAUGUCUUCGGACCAAAGAUUUAUCGCCUUUGGAUGGGCCCGCGUUGGAUUAGCUAGUUGGUAGGGUAAAAGCCUACCAAGGCGACGAUCCAUAGCUGGUCUGAGGGGAUGAUCAGCCACACUGGGACUGAGACACGGCCCAGACUUCUGCGGGAGGGAGCAGGGCUGAACCAGCGACACCGCGCGGGAGCAUGAGGCAUCAGUGCCGUGUGGGUGAUUAAGUGGUUAGGAUUAUCAGGCUCUUUUACCCGGGAUGUUAAUGACGGAACCGGGAGAAUAGGACCCGCCUAACUCCGU